rnacentral:rRNA from 1 species
GCAAGUCGAACGGAGUUAUUGGAGCUUGCUCUUAGAACUUAGUGGCAACGGGUGAGUAAUGCAUAAGUAACGCACCCCACAAACUGGGAUAACAUACCGAAAGGGAUGCUAAUACCGGAUAUAUGUAUUUAUUGCAUGAUAGAUACAGGAAAGAUUUAUUGUUGUGGGAGCGGCUUAUGUCUGAUUAGUUAGUUGGUAGGGUAAAGGCCUACCAAGGCGAUGAUCAGUAGCUGGUCUGAGAGGAUGGUC